rnacentral:lncRNA from 1 species
UGGAGUGUAAUACACAAGAGAUCAGCAUCAACCUUGGAGUUGGUCCAGGAAGUUUGUCCUGCUCUAUUCAAGUGGAUGUGGCUCGUCCUGUUUUCAAGGUUAGAUUUUUAUCUUGCAUUCUGGACUAAACCACUCAAUGAGCGUACUACACAUCAGCAUCGUUCAUGAACAUCUGAAGGUGUCGAUAUUUUGAGAAGCUUCCACCCACUUGCUCUUCUAAACCAAUUUUCAGUUCGAAGUUUGUUUGGACUCUUGAGCAUGUAGUUAUCAUAUCACAAAUCAACCAAUCAAUACCCCUAAUUGAUAAAAAUAUUCCCUCUAUAUAUAUCAAAAUAUAGUGCAUACUAAAUGUCCUAAGUCAAGUUCCGUAAAGAUUGACCAAAUUUAUAGAAAACAUAUAAAAGAUCCAUUGUCCUGUAAAGAUUGACCAAAGUUCUGUAAAUGCAUACAUAAUGAACUUUCUCUUGAAUGAACUUGGCAGCACAUAUCCCCAAAAUGGAUCGGACGGCAAAGACCCAUGGAGCCACGGUUACCUGGUCCUGCCAAAUAUUAAUCCUCCUAGAUAACUUGCUCGAAGAUAUCUUUCCAGCUGUAGCGGCUUGGCUAUCUGCAGUUAAAAUAAUAAUUCCGAAAAGGUGGUUGAAACCCUGCCUCCACAUGGCUAUCUGCAGUGUUACUGUGCGACAAACUACGGAUGAUACACAUUGAAGCUCCAAAUAUCUCCAUAGGUGUUUUCAGAUAGCAGUUACGCCAGGCAUUGAAAAACUUACCUCGUGAUGCCUAAGAGUUUGGCAGUCAACUUCCCUUCCCAUGCAAUUUCUAUCUGAAGGGAAUGGAAGCUCGAUCUGGCAUCUUCACCGUGUUGACUGUGACUUCCAUCCUACAGUCAGUCUUGGUUGCUUGAGAGGCCUGACAGUGCUGCAUCUUGAUUGUGUGCGGAUUACAGGGACGAGUUCGGAUAUCGUUUUUCCAGCUGUGCUGCUUUGGAGCAGUUGAAACUCAGGAGAUGCCCCAAGAUAACUUGCUUGAAGAUACCUUCUCAGCAGCAGCGGCUCAGCUACCUGCAAGUGUUAGGAUGCCACAAACUGCGGAUGAUAAAGAUCGAAGCUCCAAAUAUUUGUAGUUUUCACUUUAUUACAUUUGACCAAGUAGAGGUCUCACUUUGGAGAAUCAUUGCGACUGAAGAAUGUCGAUAUGAUCUGUUGCCGCCUCCUCCAUUAUGCACUUGAAGAGCUGCCAUCAAUUGCACCGAAUCUUGAAACUUUUAGCAUACACUCACUUCGUCGGCCAUAUUCUAAAACUUCUCAUGAUGUUUUUCUUGGAAGGGAACCUUUUGGGAUUAUUCAGUAUCAUUAUGCAUAGAACAAUUGUGUACCUUGGAAUAUUAAUUGACAUGUGGCAUGCUUAUGUAGGUGGUAAAUACAACAAUGGCAUUGGCGCCUAGCAAGUUCGUCCACCUGAAGUACAUGAGUAUUGAGUAUUUAGUAUUCAUGGGGCCUAUGAUUAUUUUUCUCCGGUUUCUUUCCUUGCUGCCCCUCCCACCAUGAAGACAUUCAUACUCAAUGUAGGUCACUAUUCAUUCUGCAAAUAUUUUUGAAUGCAUUCAUCCUGGAAAUAUAACAAGUCUACUGAUCUGGCUACCAUCCAUCGAUGAAUUGCUUUUUGGUGACCCCUCACCUCCAAGGCAGAUGCCAAGAUACCUGCAUGACAAGCUCCACCCGAGAGUGGACAUCUCUAGCUAGGUUUUACUCUUCAAAGAGCUUGACUGAACUGCGUCCCAUAUUCUUGAAAAUUCACCAUCAAUCGAGUGCCUUACAUUGGAGACCCUACUGAUCGUGGUUUCAGGUCUUCUGGCGCCAGAGAUGCAGAGUCGUCACGGUGCAGACGGGUACACCCAGAAGUUUUGAGAGCUUAACUGUCGGCAUUUUUUGGACAACCUCGCGAGAGGACAGGGUAUUCCUGCAAUUUGUUAAGAAUAUAGAGUAAAUAGAUUUGCGGGAGCUUAGCUAGUGUCGUUUCUUUCAGUAGCCUAGUAAUAAGCUAAGCUGCUCGUUACUGCUUGAUUUUAGGUUAAAGUUGCUUCCAGGCCCGUGUACUGGGGCUGUGAAGAGAGUGAUUCGUGGGUUUGCAGGACCCUGCUGGUUCGUUGGGGAGCAGGCCGGGCGUUUAGCGUGUUGCUGUAGAAAUCCUGUACUGAAUCUCAUCAGACACGAUCAGGAGUUGCAGUAGAAAGGAAUGAGGUCGUCGCUAUUGCCCCCUCAUAAUUGACAUUUUCUCUUCCCUGAUAACUUUUGUAUUUGCACUUCGAGUUUGGAUUUGAUUUUUUU